rnacentral:rRNA from 1 species
UACGUAGGUGGCAAGCGUUGUCCGGAUUUAUUGGGUUUAAAGGGUGCGUAGGCGGCGCCUUAAGUCAGUGGUGAAAUACUUCAGCUUAACUGGAGAGGUGCCAUUGAUACUGGGGUGCUUGAGUACUGAUGAGGUAGGCGGAAUGGACGGUGUAGCGGUGAAAUGCUUAGAUAUCGUCCAGAACACCGAUAGCGAAGGCAGCUUACUAAGGAGUAACUGACGCUGAGGCACGAAAGUGUGGGGAUCAAACAGG